GAUGAACGCUAGCGGCGUGCCUUAUGCAUGCAAGUCGAACGGUCCUUCACCUUUCGGGGUGAAGGAUAGUGGCGAAUGGGUGAGUAACGCGUAAGUAACCUGCCCUUAAGUAGGGGAUAACUUUGAGAAAUUGGAGCUAAUACCUUAGUGGUUCUUCACUUGAAGGUGAAGGACUAAAGCCUUAGGGUGCUUGGGGAUGGGCUUGCGUCCGAUUAGCUAGUUGGUAGGGUAAUGGCUUACCAAGGCAAUGAUCGGUAGCUGGUUUGAGAGGAUGGUCAGCCACACUGGGAUUGAGAUACGGCCCAGACUCCUACGGGAGGCAGCAGCAAGGAAUAUUGUGCAAUGGGCGAAAGCCUGACACAGCGACGUCGCGUGGGGGAUGAAGGCUUUCGGGUCGUAAACCCCUUUUCUCAGGGAAGAAUAAUGACGGUACCUGAGGAAUAAGUCACGGCUAACUACGUGCCAGCAGCCGCGGUAAUACGUAGGUGGCAAGCGUUAUCCGGAUUUACUGGGUGUAAAGAGGGUGCAGGCGGCUUUUCAAGUCGGAUAUAAAAUCUCCCGGCUUAACUGGGAGGGACUAUUCGAUACUGUUGGGCUAGAGGGCAGCAGGGGGAGGUGGAAUUCCCGGUGUAGUGGUGAAAUGCGUAGAUAUCGGGAGGAACACCAGUGGCGAAGGCGGCCUCCUGGGCUGUUACUGACGCUGAGGCCCGAAGGCGUGGGGAGCAAACAGGAUUAGAUACCCUGGUAGUCCACGCUAUAAACUAUGGACACUAGGUAUAGGGAGUAUCGAACCUCUUUGUGCCGAAGCUAACGCUUUAAGUGUCCCACCUGGGGAGACGGCCGCAAGGCU
rnacentral:rRNA from 1 species